GUGAAGGGGGCGAGCCUGAUCCAGCAAUGCCGCGUGUGUGAAGAAGGCCUGCGGGUUGUAAAGCACUUUUAGUGGGGAAGAAAAGUUUUGAGUUAAUACCUCAAAAUCUUGACGUUACUCACAGAAAAAGCACCGGCUAACUCUGUGCCAGCAGCCGCGGUAAUACAGAGGGUGCGAGCGUUAAUCGGAAUUACUGGGCGUAAAGCGUGCGUAGGCGGUUGGAUAAGUCGGAUGUGAAAGCCCUUGGCUCAACCAAGGAAUUGCAUUCGAUACUAUUCGGCUAGAGUAUGGUAGAGGGAAGCGGAAUUCUUAGUGUAGCGGUGAAAUGCGUAGAUAUUAGGAAGAACAUCAGUGGCGAAGGCGGCUUCCUGGACUGAUACUGACGCUGAGGUACGAAAGCGUGGGGAGCAAACAGGAUUAGAUACCCUGGUAGUCCACGCCCUAAACGAUGAGAACUAGAUGUUAGAAGGUAAUUACCUUUUGGUGUCGUAGCUAACGCGAUAAGUUCUCCGCCUGGGGAGUACGGCCGCAAGGUUAAAACUCAUA
rnacentral:rRNA from 1 species